UGCAGUCGAGCGAGAACUGGGGGCAAGAAAAUGAGUAAAGCGGCGCUCGGGUGAGUAAGAAAUGGGUAAUCUGCCCUGGAGUGGGGAAUAACACCGGGAAACCUGUCCUAAUACCGCAUACGAUAAUGAGGUCUGUGGACUUUGUUAUGAAAGGAGCAAUUCGCUCUAGGAGGAGCCCGCGGCUGAUUAGCUAGUUGGUGAGGUAACGGCUCACCAAGGCUACGAUCAGUAUCCGGUCUGAGAGGACGGUCGGACACACUGGAACUGAGACACGGUCCAGACUCCUACGGGAGGCAGCAGUGGG
rnacentral:rRNA from 1 species